rnacentral:rRNA from 1 species
AAUGAACGUUGGCGGCGUGGAUUAGGCAUGCAAGUCGAGCGAGAAGUUUACUUCGGUAAAUGGACAGCGGCGAAAGGGACAGUAAUGUGUAGGUACCUACCCCCCGAUCUGGGAUAGCUGCGGGAAACUGCAGGUAAUACCGGAUAAUGUCUUCGGACCAAAGGUGUGAUUCCGUCAGGGGAGGGGCCUGCAUCCUAUUAGCUUGUUGGUGAGGUAAUGGCUCACCAAGGCAACGAUGGGUAGCGGGUGUGAGAGCAUGACCCGCGUCAUUGGGACUGAGACACUGCCCAGACAUCUACGGAUGGCUGCAGUCGAGAAUCUUCGGCAAUGGGCGAAAGCCUGACCGAGCGACGCCGCGUGCGGGAUGAAGGCCCUCGGGUUGUAAACCGCUGUCGUUGGGGAGGAAAUGCAAAAGGGUUAUCCCUUCUGUUUGACCGAUCCAAGGAGGAAGUACGGGCUAAGUUCGUGCCAGCAGCCGCGGUAAGACGAACCGUACGAACGUUAUUCGGAAUUACUGGGCUUAAAGGGUGCGUAGGCUGCACGGAAAGUUGGGUGUGAAAGCCCUCAGCUCAACUGAGGAAUUGCAUCCAAAACUGCCGUGCUUGAGGGAGACAGAGGUGAGCGGAACUCAAGGUGGAGCGGUGAAAUGCGUUGAUAUCUUGAGGAACACCGGUGGCGAAAGCGGCUCACUGGGUCUCUUCUGACGCUGAGGCACGAAAGCUAAGGUAGCAAACGGG